rnacentral:rRNA from 1 species
ACACAUGCAGUCGAGCGGAUGACAGGAGCUUGCUCCUGAAUUCAGCGGCGGACGGGUGAGUAAUGCCUAGGAAUCUGCCUGGUAGUGGGGGACAACGUUUCGUAAGGAACGCUAAUACCGCAUACGUCCUACGGGAGAAAGCAGGGGACCUUCGGGCCUUGCGCUAUCAGAUGAGCCUAGGUCGGAUUAGCUAGUUGGUGAGGUAAUGGCUCACCAAGGCGACGAUCCGUAACUGGUCUGAGAGGAUGAUCAGUCACACUGGAACUGAGACACGGUCCAGACUCCUACGGGAGGCAGCAGUGGGGAAUAUUGGACAAUGGGCGAAAGCCUGAUCCAGCCAUGCCGCGUGUGUGAAGAAGGUCUUCGGAUUGUAAAGCACUUUAAGUUGGGAGGAAGGGCAUUAACCUAAUACGUUAGUGUUUUGACGUUACCGACAGAAUAAGCGCCGGCUAACUCUGUGCCAGCAGCCGCGGUAAUACAGAGGGUGCAAGCGUUAAUCGGAAUCACUGGGCGUAAAGCGCGCGUAGGUGGUUUGUUAAGUUGGAUGUGAAAUCCCCGGGCUCAACCUGGGAACUGCAUUCAAAACUGACAAGCUAGAGUAUGGUAGAGGGUGGUGGAAUUUCCUGUGUAGCGGUGAAAUGCGUAGAUAUAGGAAGGAACACCAGUGGC